rnacentral:rRNA from 1 species
CUACGGGGGGCAGCAGUGGGGAAUAUUGGACAAUGGGGGCAACCCUGAUCCAGCAAUACCGCGUGUGUGAAGAAGGCCCGAGGGUUGUAAAGCACUUUCAGUAGGGAGGAUUAAUGUUACGGUUAAUACCCGUGAUAUUUGACGUUACCUACAGAAGAAGCACCGGCUAACUCAGUGCCAGCAGCCGCGGUAAUACUGAGGGUGCAAGCGUUAAUCGGAAUUACUGGACGUAAAGCGGGCGUAGGUGGUUAGAUCAGUUGGGUGUGAAAGCCCCGAGCUUAACUUGGGAACUGCAUUCAAUACUGUCUAGCUAGAGUAUGGUAGAGGGAAGUGGAAUUCCGCAUGUAGCGGUGAAAUGCGUAGAGGUGCGGAGGAACACCAGUGGCGAAGGCGACUUCCUGGACCAAUACUGACACUGAGGUGCGAAAGCGUGGGGAGCAAACAGGAUUAGAUACCCUCGUAGUC